CUUAAACACUUGUCCUGUACUCUCCCCUGUCCCUUCUUCUGUGGGCCAUAGCAUAGAUGUGGUAGAGACCCAGGUUUGGCAACACUGAAGAGGAAUGGUAUGACAUCAGGGAAUGGUAAUGCAGCAGAAAGGAAGGAACUUGCGUCCUUUAAUGACCUAGAGGAGUCAAUCUACUUCACCACCUGGACCAGCGGGACUGUAAUGUGAGAAAUACAUUUCUAUCUAUGUGUCCAUUAGCCGAACCUAAGUGAGAAAAAGGAAGUGGAGGAAGAGGAAGAAGAAUAAAAAAAAACAGAAGGCAAGCAGGAGAUAGAAGACUGAACAGGAGCAGGAAGAGGAGAAGAAAGAAGAAUCAGAAAAAAAGUGAAAGAGAAAUAAUUCACUGAAUGAUCCUACCUGGAUUCCAAACAUUUCCAAAUGGCUCUUCCCACAAGUUAUGGGUAACUUGGGAAUUCGCUCUCCUGAUGCUACCAGCAAAAGAUUCAAAAAGGUCUUUCAUGAGAUCCCUCUCCAUUCUGUUAUAAAAAUCAUCAGCUAAUAUGUUUUCAAGGAUUUGCCAGGUUGAGAGAACUAAACAUGAGUGUCCGGAUUAAAAGUGACCACCCAUCCAAUAGCUAGAAAAGUGAAUAAAAAGAAAGAACUGAGACGAACAAAGGAAGGCAUGCGUUCUGAGAAACCUGGGCAUGAACAUAGGAGGGGGUGAAGAAAAAUCUCAGGAUGACAGCCAUGCAACAGAUUUGGACCUAUAUGGCUUUCAUCCAUUUUCAGAAAUCAAAUCUACUCACAGUGGAUAAAAAUUUGCCAUAAAUAAGGAUACUCAAGAGGAUGUGCCACUAACUUGGGAAUCAAAGGAAGAAAUCAAAGAUGUUUUAAUCAUGGUGCUUCAUUGGAAUCAGUGCUUCUUCUCUUAAGAUUCCUUUUCUUUGUCAUUAUGGAAGAAAAUGAGAAAUUCUGAAUUCUCAACCUCCGUUCAGUAAAAGUAAUAAUAAUAAGGAAAAACACUACCAAGCUUCUUCUUGAAAGCAUCCAUCAAGUGUGUCAGGAUAACCUGGUGAAGUGCAUGUACGGUAAAAUCUCUUCAUUUCUUGAUAAACUUUGGACAACACAGUCUGCAUGCACAGCAUCUAACAGAAGCUGAGGAAUGGCGCAUCCUUUCCUUGUUCCUGGUCUCAAAAGAGGACUUUCAAAAUGCUAAGGUGAAGGAAUCAAGAAACAAGUGAUUUGCUGAAUGUUGUAUAAGUGGCAUUUUGUAUGCUGAACCCAAGUCCACAGACUCAAAAUU